UGUCCCUAAUCUACACUGAUCCAACCCACCUGGCUACCUGGGUCACGAAGCCGAGUAGAUCGAGGAGGGUGACCCCAUUCAAACACACAGUCAACCUG